UGCGUGUGUGUAUGUAUAUAGCCGCGUAACGCUUCGCGUUUUGCGAUUGACCGUCGCGUCGGGUGUUCGAUAAGUGGUUAGUGGCACUGUCGCGCGUGUGGCGAGCCUCCAAAGGUGAAUAACGGAGUUUAGAGCGCAACGUUCAGGGCCUCACCGCGCCUCUCUCGCAAUCCGACGACUUGCUACGGCUUUGCACUGCAACUUCUCUGACUCAGUCUGGACGAUUAGUUCCGAUCUUCGUCUGCUUCGGCUCGAUGGCAACGAGAACAACGACGACGAAGACGACGACGACGUUGACGAUAACAGCGGAUCUCUUCUUGGUAUUACUCCGCUUUGGAUGAAGCGUACGAGCGAAUGCGCCUACGGGGCGGAUUGCCGCCGCAUAUAAACGUUGCCUCCCUUCACCGCCGGCUAAUGUCGGGGUCAGGGGUGCCCCCACCCCACCCUCGUUUCGGGUGGUCCAUCGGCUGCAGCCGCCGCCACCACCAACACCGCCGCCGCCACCACCAUCGCGUCAUCGCCGUUCCGACACCGCCGCUUCCACCAGUCGCGCAGACCAGCUUUUCGAAUACCACGAGGUGGUUCGACGAUUCCAUGAAUCUCGUCGGUAUCUACCGAGGUUAACCCUUAGGCGACACUUACAUGACUGAAUCUCUCAUUGAUAAUAGAGAUUAGUUUAAAAAAAAUUGCUUAAUUACGUUCCACUUUUUAUAUAACUAUAUUCUAAAACAUGCUACCAACAAUUAUUCAUUCUUCAAUGAUUUUUAUUUUUCAAAUUUAGUAAUUUGUAUAUGAAAGUUCUUGAACGUUCAGAGUCAAGUUUAAUUUAUUCAAAUGGCUUUACUAGUUUAUACGGUGUUAAAAAAUGUCACUUAGAAACAUUGAAUUAAAGAGAGUGAAGAACGUUUAACAAAGCACUUUGAGAAUGCACUUUAUAGAUCUUGAAUAUGGAGCGACUUCACUGCUGGUAUAGCAUAAAAAAGAACCUCAUGGAAAAACUAGAUGAAUUGUAGUCAGGAAUCGGAAGUCAAUUAUGCGAGGAAUAAAACUGAGCAAGAAUUAAAACGAGUCGGACGUAUUAAUUACACCGAUAUUUGCAUAAACGACAUACCUCCGUAGGUGUGGGUCCUGUAUUUUAUUUACUUUUUCGGUAUUCUGAAUUCUUUAAACAAUAGAUAAUCAAUCUGAGCGUAGAUUAAUUUAUAAGUAACGCGAGAAAAUCGCAGGAAAGCAGGAAAAUCUAUAAAUAGCGUGCACGGUAUUCACGGUGGUGAAACGUCAUUUCUUGUCGAGCCAGAAGGAAAUUUUCCUUGCGUCGCGUUUCCGUGUGGCCGCGUGCCGCGAUCUACGUCACCAACAACGUCACUAGUGGUCGAAGGCGCGUGCGAGCAUUUGGGAAGUUCCCAAGUGCGCUUAGCGAAUUCCACUCCACGUCCCGAUCCCUCGGGUAGACGGUUCGUUCCACUCUCGCACUCUCACUGUGAAUUCCCCGAGCCCCGAGCGCGAAGUUCGCAGGAAUUGAUCUCGUUCCUCGGCCGACGGAAAGAAGAGGACAAAAGGGACCAGUUUCCCAUUCUAUCUCCAGCGGGAGCCAGUCACGUCGCCGUACUCGCGCUCGCGCUCGCGACCGAUCCACCUGUACGAUAUACACUGACGCGUUAAUCACGAUCUGGAUCGACGAUUAAGCAUUAUCAUCGCAUUGUUACACACCUGUUCCGCGUUGACGCGAUUCUGGAAAUUCCAGGUGAUUCCAGGUGAAACCGGAGGAAGAAACGUGACCGAAAAGCUUGUAUUAUCUUUUGUUUAUCAUAAAUAUAUUAAUUAAUUAAAAAUAUAUUGAUAGAUAUAUGUCUGUUCAUAAGAAAAGGUUUAAAAGAGGAAUCUUCAUGUCAUCUCAUCUUACAGUUUAUUAUUUCAUUUUACAACUAUAUUCUUUAACAUGUCAAUGUACAUUACUUGAUAUCCUAGAAAUGAAAUGAAUUAAAAAAAUACAGGUGGUGGUAAGGUACUGAGAACAUCGAAAUAUGAUUAUUUUUUGCAAUAAAUUUUAGAUAUUUUUAUUGAUAACAAA